UACAGAGGUCUCAAGCGUUGUUCGGAUUCAUUGGGCGUAAAGGGUGCGUAGGCGGCGCGGUAAGUCGGGGUGUGAAAUUUCGAGGCUUAACUUCGAAACUGCAUUCGAUACUGCCGUGCUUGAGGACUGGAGAGGAGACUGGAAUUUACGGUGUAGCGGUGAAAUGCGUAGAUAUCGUAAGGAAGACCAGUGGCGAAGGCGGGUCUCUGGACAGUUCCUGACGCUGAGGCACGAAGGCCAGGGAGCAAACGGG
rnacentral:rRNA from 1 species